rnacentral:rRNA from 1 species
AACACAUGCAAGUCGAGCGAACGGACGAGAAGCUUGCUUCUCUGAUGUUAGCGGCGGACGGGUGAGUAACACGUGGAUAACCUACCUAUAAGACUGGGAUAACUUCGGGAAACCGGAGCUAAUACCAGAUAAUAUUUUGAACCGCAUGGUUCAAAAGUGAAAGACGGUCUUGCUGUCACUUAUAGAUGGAUCCGCGCUGCAUUAGCUAGUUGGUAAGGUAACGGCUUACCAAGGCAACGAUGCAUAGCCGACCUGAGAGGGUGAUCGGCCACACUGGAACUGAGACACGGUCCAGACUCCUACGGGAGGCAGCAGUAGGGAAUCUUCCGCAAUGGGCGAAAGCCUGACGGAGCAACGCCGCGUGAGUGAUGAAAGUCUUCGGAUCGUAAAACUCUGUUAUUAGGGAAGAACAUAUGUGUAAGUAACUGUGCACAUCUUGACGGUACCUAAUCAGAAAGCCACGGCUAACUACGUGCCAGCAGCCGCGGUAAUACGUAGGUGGCAAGCGUUAUCCGGAAUUAUUGGGCGUAAAGCGCGCGUAGGCGGUUUUUUAAGUCUGAUGUGAAAGCCCACGGCUCAACCGUGGAGGGUCAUUGGAAACUGGAAAACUUGAGUGCAGAAGAGGAAAGUGGAAUUCCAUGUGUAGCGGUGAAAUGCGCAGAGAUAUGGAGGAACACCAGUGGCGAAGGCGACUUUCUGGGCUGUAACUGACGCUGAUGUG